rnacentral:rRNA from 1 species
CGGAGGGUGCAAGCGUUGUCCGGAUUUAUUGGGUUUAAAGGGUGCGUAGGCGGCUUAUUAAGUCAGGGGUGAAAGACUGCAGCUCAACUGUAGCAGUGCCUUUGAUACUGAUGAGCUUGAGUACAGAUGAGGCUGGCGGAAUGGGUGGUGUAGCGGUGAAAUGCAUAGAUACCAUCCAGAACACCGAUUGCGAAGGCAGCCGGCUAAAACUGUAACUGACGCUGAGGCACGAAAGCGUGGGAUCGAACAGGAUU